rnacentral:rRNA from 1 species
UACGGGGGGGGCAAGCGUUGUUCGGAAUUACUGGGCGUAAAGGGCUCGUAGGCGGCCAACUAAGUCAGACGUGAAAUCCCUCGGCUUAACCGGGGAACUGCAUCUGAUACUGGAUGGCUUGAGUUCGGGAGAGGGAUGCGGAAUUCCAGGUGUAGCGGUGAAAUGCGUAGAUAUCUGGAGGAACACCAAUGGCGAAGGCAGAUCUCUGGGCCGUAACUGACGCUGAGGAGCGAAAGCAUGGGGAGCGAACAGG